GGUUUUUAAAAGUCCACAUUGGUCCAAAUGAAAUAUUAAGGUUUUUCUGGAAAAUAUCCAAAGGAAAAGGUUAAAGUAUAAUUUAUAAUAUACAUAAUUGGUAAAUGUAAUCUCAAUAUAAAUUGCCUAAAAAUAUUUGUUUCAAAUGAGUAAGAAAUACUAUCAAUUUUGUGCUUUAAAGUUCAGCCUCAAUGGGGGUGGAGGGUGUCUCAAAAUUAAUUAACACAAUGUUUUUACAAGGCUGCACAGUUUUAUCAACUACCUUUUCUUCACAAUAAACCUGAAGGUAGAGAAGGUAGGUAGCGGUGCCUAGCCUAUAGUCACUUGAUCAAUAAAUUUAAGAGCAAAGUUUUAAACCUAAAUUUUCUAACCCCCAAGUCUUGUACUUCUUUUUAUAUAUCCACACUACUUCUGCAUAUAUAUAAGCUUAAUUUUACUUAUAUUUUGCAGUUUUCCUUUUAAAAAUAUAAAUUAUAAAUGAAAAGUAAACUAGGUAUCCCACUCCACUCACAAAAUAUAUCCUGGUACUAAAUAUUAAAAUAUUAAAUAUUAGAAUCUUAUUCCCAAAUAAGUGAAAAAAAAUUAUCCAAUUUGACAGGGCAAAUGAAUACCAAAUAUCUGUUUCAUGACAUCAAGGCAAACCAUGAUCUAUUAAGAUUUCAGGCAGAAGUUCUACGUUAACUAAAACCAUUCUGUAUUUUUAUUCAUAUAUUUUGUGGUGUUCACAUAUUUUUUUUUUGUUUUUGUACAGCAAACAUAACACUGUAGGCCAUGAGAAGCUGCAGCACUAUUGUUUAAUAGCAGCAAGUUAUAUUUUAUAUCAGGAUAUCUGAAUAAUAAAUAGUCUGUUUCUUUGGAUGUGAAUGUUUAAAAUGAAGUACUGCUGCAGCUUCAUAAUGUGAUUGCUAUUUCACAGAGCUUAUACACAAAAAUAUAUAUGCAAUCUUUGUCUAUAUUUUAUACAAAUACAACAGUAGUUUGUGAAUACAUUUUAAGUACAUAUACAUGAUAAGCAAUUUGAUUUCCCAUAUCACAGGAUAGCAAAUUUUAAAUGCAAGAGACAUAUACAAAUUCAGUCUGGAAUGCAGGGUUUUGUUUUUGUUUUCUAUUUUGACUCAAAACUUUAUCAUUAGAAUAUUUUAGCGUUCAAGUCCAAACACUUUUUAAAACUACCUCAAUACAAUAUCAGCAAUUCAACUCAUGUUCAGGUACGAUAUCAUCCAUUUCCUAAUGGUUUCCCAGUUUCUUUUAAAUUCAAAGGGCUUCUAGCAACAUACAGUAUGUUCUUCACUCCACACUAUAUAUAUAAAAAAGCCCAUUAUUCAUUUUAACUAUCAGUCAUCUUAUGAACAAAAGUUGGGCUUGUUCUGGAAGGUUUGCAUGUCCAAGAUUUUCCUUUUGCAAGUGCAUAUGAAUACAUUGUGGUGUUGUAAAAGUUCGUUAAUGACAAAUUAAGUCACAGUAUAAAAAUAUAUCAUACACCUAUAGGUCAAAUAUAGUCCUUUUUCUAUGGGUAAAAAUAUAUCUGAAUGAGACAGGAAAGUUUGUAGCACCAUGAGGAGUUGUUUCCCAAGUUACAUUAGCAGCAUGAUCCAAAAGAAUAAUAUUGCAGGAGUGUUUCUGAGAAGAUAAACAUUCAUUCUGGUUCAACUGUACCACUGAAGCUUAUACUGCAAAGUGUUUAUAUAUGAUUAGCAAUAGUUUUGUGUCAUUUCUAGGGCUAGAUAACUGUUAUCAAAAGACACUGCCUUCCAACCACAGAGCACUGACAACCUUAUUACAUAAGGGCCUUAAGAAUGAUUUACAUACAUCUUUAACUAUGUUGGUUUUAUUCUGUCUUGCUGUAUAUGGGUUGAGGAUCUUCAGGAUAAACCUACAUAAUGAAGAUUUGCCUGCAUGAGUUUUGAGGUGCUCCAAAAGUACCCCUGUGCUUUCAAAAGUCUGCAAACAUACCUUACAGGAAUAGAAAAACACUGAGAAAAGACCGAUGCAGCACAUGGCACAGGCAUGGCUUUCCUGGCAGGCAUGAGUGAAUACUGCUCUUACUACACGUUUGCAUUCCAAGGCCAACUAGUUCUGUUUGGGCAAGUGAACAAGGAAGAAGGAAGGAGGUGAGGAGCAGGAAUUUCUGCCAUGUCACUGCAAAGCUUCCAAAAACACCUGGAGUCAGCUAUCUGCCUAUAGAACAUCAGUGAGUAGUGAGGUCUCAAAACUAUCAUACAGUUAGUGGUAUUUCUAUGACUACAUAUAUCUGAGGGAGAGGGAGAAAGAGUUUUCCUUCUACUAUCUAUGGGACAUUCCCUACUGGACUUUUUUCUAUCAUCUAAAGCAAAAAUAUCGCAAAUGAGUAUUUUAUUAAGGAAGAAAAUUUUCUGAAAAUUUAAAUCACAGCUUCAAGGCUGUGUAUUUAAAAAAAUAAAAAAAAAACAUAAUUUAAAAA